AGAGUUUGAUCCUGGCUCAGAACGAACGCUGGCGGCGUGGAUAAGACAUGCAAGUCGAACGAGAGAAUUGCUAGCUUGCUAAUAAUUCUCUAGUGGCGCACGGGUGAGUAACACGUGAGUAACCUGCCCCCGAGAGCGGGAUAGCCCUGGGAAACUGGGAUUAAUACCGCAUAGUAUCGAAAGAUUAAAGCAGCAAUGCGCUUGGGGAUGGGCUCGCGGCCUAUUAGUUAGUUGGUGAGGUAACGGCUCACCAAGGCGAUGACGGGUAGCCGGUCUGGGAGGAUGUCCGGCCACACUGGAACUGAGACACGGUCCAGACACCUACGGGUGGCAGCAGUCGAGAAUCAUCCACAAUGGGGGAAACCCUGAUGGUGCGACGCCGCGUGGGGGAAUGAAGGUCUUCGGAUUGUAAACCCCUGUCAUGUGGGAGCAAAUUAAAAAGAUAGUACCACAAGAGGAAGAGACGGCUAACUCUGUGCCAGCAGCCGCGGUAAUACAGAGGUCUCAAGCGUUGUUCGGAAUCACUGGGCGUAAAGCGUGCGUAGGCUGUUUCGUAAGUCGUGUGUGAAAGGCGCGGGCUCAACCCGCGGACGGCACAUGAUACUGCGAGACUAGAGUAAUGGAGGGGGAACCGGAAUUCUCGGUGUAGCAGUGAAAUGCGUAGAUAUCGAGAGGAACACUCGUGGCGAAGGCGGGUUCCUGGACAUUAACUGACGCUGAGGCACGAAGGCCAGGGGAGCGAAAGGGAUUAGAUACCCCUGUAGUCCUGGCAGUAAACGGUGCACGCUUGGUGUGCGGGGAAUCGACCCCCUGCGUGCCGGAGCUAACGCGUUAAGCGUGCCGCCUGGGGAGUACGGUCGCAAGAUUAAAACUCAAAGAAAUUGACGGGGACCCGCACAAGCGGUGGAGUAUGUGGCUUAAUUCGAUGCAACGCGAAGAACCUUACCUGGGCUUGACAUGUAAUGAACAACAUGUGAAAGCAUGCGACUCUUCGGAGGCGUUACACAGGUGCUGCAUGGCCGUCGUCAGCUCGUGUCGUGAGAUGUUUGGUUAAGUCCAGCAACGAGCGCAACCCCUGUUGCCAGUUACCAGCACGUGAAGGUGGGGACUCUGGCGAGACUGCCCAGAUCAACUGGGAGGAAGGUGGGGACGACGUCAGGUCAGUAUGGCCCUUAUGCCCAGGGCUGCACACGUACUACAAUGCCCAGUACAGAGGGGGCCGAAGCCGCGAGGCGGAGGAAAUCCUAAAAACUGGGCCCAGUUCGGACUGUAGGCUGCAACCCGCCUACACGAAGCCGGAAUCGCUAGUAAUGGCGCAUCAGCUACGGCGCCGUGAAUACGUUCCCGGGUCUUGCACUCACCGCCCGUCA
rnacentral:rRNA from 1 species